rnacentral:lncRNA from 1 species
UGAAUAAGUUGUUGUUUGCCCCUCUAGUAUUCCAGGUUAUGAAGUUAAUUGGACUCUCACGUAUCAUUAAAUUCUCUGAUUUUCCCUUUCAUUUCUCCAUCUGUGUUAGGUUCAUUAAAUCCUUUAAGGGGUUCAGAGUUAUUGCUAGCAGUAGGUUGCUCAUCUGAUUUCUCAUACUCAGACUGAUCCUGCUCACUACAGCCUACUCAAAUAGCUUCUCUAGAUUUUCUCUUAGAAUUCUUUUGUGACUAGCUUUUCCAGUUGAUCGACCUCUGUAUUCUGCUCUUCUAGCGCUUGUAGCAACUCUUCUAACUCUUUGUUGCUCUACCUUAAUGUGUCUAGAACUAAAAGAGUUACCUCUCAUAGGUUUCCUGCCUUAUUAGUAACCAUGGCAUGAACUUGGGGGUAACAGUUGUAGGCAGUGACAGAGCCAAGAUUUUCAAAAAGGGGUUUAAAAUUAAAAAAAUUAGACACACGAAGUAGUCGAAGGGGAUUCGACAUCUACUAUAUAUACCUAAAAAAUUAUUUUAACCCCCUAAUUAUAAGGUGGCUCCGCCACUGGUUGUAGGGUCUUGAAGAGGUUCUGAUAAGAAAGAUAUAUAUCGAUGGACCUACGACAUGAGAGAGCUUAGCACUUGGCUGGACAUUCGUGUCAAGUCGCCGUAUAGGUGAGCUUAGAGCAGUGUUUGCAUCUAGAGUUGUUGGCUAAAACCCAAGGUGGCUAAGUUCAUCCAUUCUCUUAUGAAUUGUGCUAGGAAGUGUGGAUUUUCAAUUAAGAUCGACAUUGGCUGUGUCCAUAAGUCAAAGUUCUGCAUUAGUUAUUCUCCAUGGAAGGCCAAUUCUAGCCAUGACUCUGGAAUGUGAUCCUCCGAGAGAGGUGUUGUGACAAAGAACAUUGGUGUUGGUGCUGGUUGGAAGUAGGGGAUGUUGCUUUCCAUUUAUGCGAGUGUUCUGGAUGUCUAUUUCUUGGGGGUAUUCUUAAUUGGGACUCCAGGUUGGCAGUGUAGUUAAUUGAUGCAAUGACCAUUUUCACAUCUUUCCUGGCUUAGUGAUGAUUAUUUUUCGUAUUGGAAAGAGGGUUUUACAAUUUGAGAUGUGGCGGUUCGUUUCUCCACAAAGAGAGUUGUAGAGUCGUGGUUGGAGUUUGGAGUUCCCCUAGAGGUGCUUUGACUCAAAAAACCCACUUCAUUGAACGAGAGUUGAAGUUCCUUUUGCUUUGGAUUUUGGUGCAGUAAUCUUCAGCGCGUGUUUCCAAUGUGGGGGCCAUCUACAUUAAUGGGAUGAGAUCCUCGCAUGGAUUUCCUCUCAGGUUCAUUAAUGCUCGUCUGGGUAGUGUGUCGUCCAUCCAGCUUCCUUCAUUCCACAGUUCCAUCUUCCAUUUUUCUAUGUCCAUCAUGAGAUUUAAUAGGUGAUUGUUACGGUUGUAAGAACUAAUGGAAAAGUGUUGUUGAGUGAUGGUUAAAAUUUACCUUUUUUUGCGUCAAAAGCUUUUAACUAUAUCGUUGUCGUGUCUUUAUUUUUAUGGUCUAGCUAGUGUUGUGUUGUUCUGGGACUGUUUGCCAUUGUUCUUUGUCUUGUUUUAUUGGUAUAUAUAUCGCUUUCUUUUUCUGGACUUGUAUGGUGAUGGAUGUGUUUUGUGAUAAAGGAGCAUUAUCUAUUCGUAUGGUCAAUUCUUCUGCACCCCGUACACCAUGUCCCUUCACCAUUGUAGAUAACUUCUUAGAAGUGAUUUCCUAUUUGAAUUUUCUCCCUGAUUAGUAUGCCUAUCUUUUUUUUUUUAAAGUAAAAUAUGGGCUUUUAUUAAUACUGAAAUGAAUUAGCAAUUACACCUCCAUACACUUCCGCGGGCAUGACCCAACCCACCACUAACCCAAUACUAAAAAGUAAAUAACUAAACAUAAAUUACUGGCCUAUUCUCAUUUCUAGAUCGACAUAUAUAUCCUUGUAUGUAGGGUUUCCUAAUCGUUCCCCUUUCAUUUUCAUUUCCCCUUUUUCCGCUCCUCUGUCUCUAUCUUCACUCUUCAUUGUCUCCAUCUUCUCUUGCUUUGGAUAAUCAAUGUGAUGUUAUUGGCCUCCUUGACUGCUGUUUCAACAAACAAGAGUAAGUAAUUAAGAUUUUUAUUUCUUAUUUCCUUUUUUGCUACUGAUGAUCUCCUUAUUUUCCAGCUGAGUUUUUGUGUUUUCCUGUAGUUGGUUUGUGACAGAGUGCAUGGAGCUCUGCCCUUCCACCUUUCGUUGAUGAUGACACAGACUCCUCCAGGUUAAAUUGUUCCAUCUUGCCUCCAGAUCCUCCCUUUCGAGACCUUUUUGCUGGCUACUGUAGUAUCUAGCUAACAUUUCACUUUUUGCUGCCUUUAAGGCUUUUGUAAAUAUUAUGUUUCGUGAAAAAUUCAUGUUGUAGCCUUGGUUGCCCCUAUCCCUUUAGCGGUGAUACUCUUAAAUAUGAACAUAGUAGCUAGUCAUUGUUAACUAUCUUUCUCCCUUCUAUCUCCAUGCUAUUAAAGUCUGUAAAAGAGAAAUUUCCUUUAUCUAUUGCUCUGUUUGCACAGUGAUCACUGCUAAUUUGUUUGCCCUCUCUUAGAAUAUACUGAAAAAUGACUUGUUUACCUUGUAAGCAUGCUUUGCUGUCUGAUACCAUGUCUGCAAUUAACCAUGGACAUGCCCAUUCACCCUCUAUCACUUUAUAUAAUAGCAUUGAAUCUGUCUGAAUGAUGAUUCGAUUGUUUUGUGUCUGUUUGCUAUGUUUGCUUGCCUCUAGUAUAGCCUUUGCUUCUGCAACUGUGUUAGUGGUAUCCUCUAUGCAUGCCCCUUCUGCAUAUUCAAUAUCUCCUUGUUCAUUCCGUACACAAAAUGCAUAUGAACUGAUUCCCGGAUUUCCCCUUGAUGCUCCAUCUGUAUUAUACUUUACCCAAUCUUUGGGUGGAAAUUCCCAUAGUAUCUUCUUGACCUUCAUUCUAGGACUGUAGUGCUGCAAGUGCUCCACCAUAUUAGGCCAGUUAAUAGGAAAAUUCAUGCUAGGUUUUCUCAUUUUUAUCAGCAUGUAUAUAUUCCUAGAAACAUUGUGGAUGAUUCUAGCUACUGUUGUUUUCUUUCCUUCAUGCUUCAUUCUAUUCCUUUUCCUCCAUAGUUCCCAUAUUACAAAGCUAGGUAUUGCUUUAUAAACUGCUUUUAUAUUCUUCCUUGUAUCAGUCCUCCACCACAGCAUUAUCACUUCUCUCAAUGCCUAUCGUAACUUGUAUGCAUAUCCUUGCAUACCACCCUCUUAAAAUUAUUGAGGUACACAUGGCUAUUUUUAGGAUUGCUCCCAUUUUACUUCCCACCUUUUUAGGAUGUUUUUGUCAUAAAAUUCAAUUGGGAUUUAUGGAAGUCUAAUCCAUAUUCCACUGUGAGUUAUACUUAAUUCUUAAGGGGAGAAAUUGGGUUCCCAUAAUUUUACGAAAAGGAAAUUGUCGAUUUUGAACCAUGGACCACCUUGGAGUGAUUUUUCCAUGAUCUCUAAUUGGAGAGUGAACUUUGCUAUGUGGAAUCCCCAUCCUAGAUCAAUUAGGGUAAACACUUCUAUAGGUUUCCAGAGUUCCGUCACUUUAAUUUUGAGAAACCAUGAUGUGAUAUUCUUUUUCCCAUUGGUUUGAUUAUUACUGAGUUUUUUAUGGGGAGAUAAAUUUUCUCUUCUCUUCCUCAGUGAGGUUGAUUUCAUUUUCUAUUUCGUUAUCCUUCUCUGUCUCU